rnacentral:rRNA from 1 species
UACGUAGGGGGCAAGCGUUGUCCGGAUUUAUUGGGCGUAAAGAGCGUGUAGGCGGUUUGGUAGGUCCGCUGUGAAAACUCGAGGCUCAACCUCGAGACGCCGAUGGAAACCGUUUGGCUAGAGUCCGGAAGAGGAGAGUGGAAUUCCUGGUGUAGCGGUGAAAUGCGCAGAUAUCAGGAAGAACACCCGUGGCUAAGGCGGCUCUCUAGUACGGUACUGACGCUGAGACGCGAAAGCGUGGGGAGCGAACAGG